GACUUAUAUUCUGUAGCAAGGUUAACCGUAUAGGGGAGCCGAAGGGAAACCGAGUCUUAACUGGGCGUUAAGUUGCAGGGUAUAGACCCGAAACCCGGUGAUCUAGCCAUGGGCAGGUUGAAGGUUGGGUAACACUAACUGGAGGACCGAACCGACUAAUGUUGAAAAAUUAGCGGAUGACUUGUGGCUGGGGGUGAAAGGCCAAUCAAACCGGGAGAUAGCUGGUUCUCCCCGAAAGCUAUUUAGGUAGCGCCUCGUGAACUCAUCUUCGGGGGUAGAGCACUGUUUCGGCUAGGGGGUCAUCCCGACUUACCAACCCGAUGCAAACUGCGAAUACCGAAGAAUGUUAUCACGGGAGACACACGGCGGGUGCUAACGUCCGUCGUGAAGAGGGAAACAACCCAGACCGCCAGCUAAGGUCCCAAAGUCACAGUUAAGUGGGAAACGAUGUGGGAAGGCUCAGACAGCCAGGAUGUUGGCUUAGAAGCAGCCAUCAUUUAAAGAAAGCGUAAUAGCUCACUGGUCGAGUCGGCCUGCGCGGAAGAUGUAACGGGGCUAAACUGUGCACCGAAGCUGCGGCAGCGACGCUUAUGCGUUGUUGGGUAGGGGAGCGUUCUGUAAGCCUGCGAAGGUGUCCUGUGAGGGAUGCUGGAGGUAUCAGAAGUGCGAAUGCUGACAUAAGUAACGAUAA
rnacentral:rRNA from 2 species